rnacentral:rRNA from 1 species
GGAGNCACACCGCGUGAGUGAAGAAGGGUUUCGGCUCGUAAAGCUCUGUUGUUGGAGAAGAACGUGCGUGAGAGUAACUGUUCACGCAGUGACGGUAUCCAACCAGAAAGUCACGGCUAACUACGUGCCAGCAGCCGCGGUAAUACGUAGGUGGCAAGCGUUAUCCGGAUUUAUUGGGCGUAAAGCGAGCGCAGGCGGUUGCUUAGGUCUGAUGUGAAAGCCUUCGGCUUAACCGAAGAAGUGCAUCGGAAACCGGGCGACUUGAGUGCAGAAGAGGACAGUGGAACUCCAUGUGUAGCGGUGAAAUA